UACGUAGGGUGCAAGCGUUAAUCGGAAUUACUGGGCGUAAAGCGUGCGCGGGCGGUGAUGUAAGACAGAUGUGAAAUCCCCGGGCUCAACCUGGGAACUGCAUUUGUGACUGCAUCGCUAGAGUACGGCAGAGGGGGAUGGAAUUCCGCGUGUAGCAGUGAAAUGCGUAGAUAUGCGGAGGAACACCGAUGGCGAAGGCAAUCCCCUGGGCCUGUACUGACGCUCAUGCACGAAAGCGUGGGGAGCAGACAGGAUUAGAAACCCGUUAGUA
rnacentral:rRNA from 1 species